rnacentral:rRNA from 1 species
AUUGAACGCUGGCGGCAUGCCUUACACAUGCAAGUCGAACGGCAGCAUAGGAGCUUGCUCCUGAUGGCGAGUGGCGAACGGGUGAGUAAUAUAUCGGAACGUGCCCUAGAGUGGGGGAUAACUAGUCGAAAGACUAGCUAAUACCGCAUACGAUCUACGGAUGAAAGUGGGGGAUCGCAAGACCUCAUGCUCCUGGAGCGGCCGAUAUCUGAUUAGCUAGCUGGCGGGGUAAAAGCCUACCAAGGCGACGAUCAGUAGCUGGUCUGAGAGGACGACCAGCCACACUGGGACUGAGACACGGCCCAGACUCCUACGGGAGGCAGCAGUGGGGAAUUUUGGACAAUGGGGGCAACCCUGAUCCAGCAAUGCCGCGUGAGUGAAGAAGGCCUUCGGGUUGUAAAGCUCUUUUGUCAGGGAAGAAACGGUAGUAGCUAAUAUCUAUUACUAAUGACGGUACCUGAAGGAUAAGCACCGGCUAACUACGUGCCAGCAGCCGCCGUAA